rnacentral:rRNA from 1 species
UGAAUACGAGACGCUAAGGCGUUGAAGUAGUGUAUGUCAUACUUCCAAGAAAAGCUUGCACUGUCAUAGAUAAAAAACGCCUGUACCAUAACCGACACAGGUGGGUAGGUAGAGUAUACUAAGGGGCGCGAGAUAACUCUCUCUAAGGAACUCGGCAAAAUAACUCCGUAACUUCGGGAGAAGGAGUGCCUUAUUUAUAAGGCUGCAAUAACAAGAUCCAAGCAACUGUUUAUCAAAAACACAGGUCUCCGCUAAGUCGUAAGACGAUGUAUGGGGGCUGACGCCUGCCCAGUGCCAGAAGGUUACAGAAGUUGGUUAGCAAUAGCGAAGCUGAUAACUGAAGCCCUGGUGAACGGCGGCCGUAACAAUAACGGUCCUAAGGUAGCGAAAUUCCUUGUCGGGUAAGUUCCGACCCGCACGAAAGGCGUAAUGAUUUGGAUACUGUCUCGGAGAGGGGCUCGGUGAAAUAGACUUGUCUGUGAAGAUGCGGACUACCUGCACCAGGACAGAAAGACCCUAUGAAGCUUUACUGUAACUUGAAAUUGAAAUUGGACUUUAUUCGCGCAGUAUAGGUGGGAGGCGUUGAUUGUAAUCUUGCGGGAUUAUUGGAGCCAUCAGUGAGAUACCACCCUUGUAAUGUUAGAUUUCUAACUUUGAAUCAUUAUCUGGUCAAAGAACAGUUUCAGGCGGGCAGUUUGACUGGGGCGGUCGCCUCCUAAACGGUAACGGAGGCGUACAAAGGUUUCCUCUGAACGGUUAGAAAUCGUAUCUAGAGUGUAAAGGCAAAGCUUGACUGUGAGACCUACAAGUCGAGCAGGGACGAAAGUCGGUCUUAGUGAUCUGACGGUACUGAGUGGAAAGGCCGUCACUCAACGGAUAAAAGUUACUCUAGGAUAACAGGCUGAUCUCCCCCAAGAGUUCACAUCGACGGGGAGGUUUGGCACCUCGAUGUCGGCUCAUCGCAUCCUGGGGCGGUAGUACGUCCCAAGGGUUGGGCUGUUCGCCCAUGAAAGCGGUACGCGAGCUGGGUUCAGAACGUCGUGGGACAGUUCGGUCCAUAUCCGGUGUAGGCGUUAGAAUAUUGAGAGGAGCCUUCUUUAGUACGAGAGGACCGAGAAGGACAUACCUCUGGUGUACCAGUUAUCGUGCCAACGGUAAACGCUGGGUAGCUAUGUAUGGAGUGGAUAACCGCUGAAAGCAUCUAAGUGGGAAGCCCACCUCAAGAUAAG